UUGUCGCCGCAUCUGGCGUGUCUUCCAAACGCUAAACCCCAAGCCGAUGUCAGGAGUCAAGCAAAAUGGUUUUACGACCAUUAGUGUUUAUGGUUUGGGAUGCGAUGAAUUAUAAAUCUGUAAGGAUCGUGGUGAGACGCGGGCAACUGCCCAUUUUAUACUUUCUUGGCUCUGCGAUAUCAGACGGGGAAAGGCUGGCGUUCAAUCCAACCGAGACGUCUGUGUCUCGGAUGCGGAAGCCCCGCAGGUGCCAUCCAUUCUGUCGACGCAGGUCAGAUUCCUAAAGGGUCCGCAAACUCUUUUAACGGCCACGGUCGGUUGCUCUUGGGUUCGGGACUUACCUGUCGCAUUUAGAUGACAAAGGGCCUUUUGCAGAAUACUCCAAGUUGUCGUUUUUCCUGUGAGACUCUUCCCCACGAGCAUGUUGCCGUGGCGAGUCUGCAUGGUGAGGAACAGCUGAGUCGCCUUCACGGCGAUGUGGUCGACCUUCUGCAGGCCGUCUGCCUCCAUCGCCCAGUCGAGUGCCCUCCUCAGCACCGGGUCGCUGUUGGGGAACUGCUCAAAACGCAUGCGAGAAGCCCCCGAAAGCAAAUGUCAAUUUCCCACGGCCUUUCAGGUUCCAUCAAAACAAACCAAAUCUGCCCUGGGGAGAAUAUUUCGAUCAAGAGACGACUGCUCACUGACAGGUUUUUGACAGGGCAAUAAACGAACACCGACCCAGCCAACGGUGGGAUCGAUGCCUUCUCAGAGCUCCUGAUGGCGUCUGAACGGCGUCUACCUGAGUCAAAUCCGUUUCUGGAAAGAGGUCAGACAUCAAGGCGUUGAAGAGGAAACUGUCGUCCGUCACAGUUCUGGACGCAUUCAUGUCCAAAAUCGCUCGAAUUAAUACAUCCUGUUCUGUCUGGUCGCCGCCGCUUCGCCGGAUUUGCCCGGCUCGACUCAACACGGCCCGAAUCGCUCGCAGCCCAAAGUCGUAGUGGUCUUGUUUGCUCAGUUGUUGCGUCAUCAGUUGAUAGAGAGUGAUGAUCUUCUUCGAAAGCACGCGAGCGUCCUGACAGGCACCGCUCGAGACAACAACGGAUAGCAGGCUAUAUUUCUGUCACUUCUCCAUACGAGACAAGAGGACGCCACAGAAGACGCGCGAUACACUCACAUGCAAAUGAAGCCUCAUCAGAAGUCGUAGGUCGGCGUGCACGCAUGUGUACAUUCGCAUAAAUGCACUCAUCAAUGCAUGUAUGUGGGUAUGGGAAGCGAGGCAUGUUUCAAUGAGUGUGAAGAGGAGUUACAUGACGCCACUCCUUUCUGAAUCAGCAUGACUGGGCUGAGCGCCCAACCCCGCCGCUUCCUCCACACGACAAAUUACAGCGUGAGCAUUGGAUCGACGCGAGUUCUUGAACUGAUCUGAAGGCGCUGCCUGAAACGCAUCCUGCGUCGGCAGUUUCUCCUUUGCUCUGAGACCUCGUUCCUCACCUCGAAGCCUUCGGCCAUGAGCGUGAUUUCGCAGAUCAUAACCAAAUCGGGAACCAUCAUGGCGACGGGGCGGAAGAGGCUCGUGAGGUUGUCUGGGAGUUCAGUUCGUCCGGCAUAUCCAGGAUUCAUUGUGAUGAAAAUGCCACAGUACGGAUCGAGGCGCACGCGGUGGCCUUCAAACAGAAACUUGAAGUUUUGGAAACUGUCCCAGUGAGGCGGGACUUCCCUACGAAGGACAGCGCCAACGAGAAGACGGUGCGUAACGCCCCGACCAGAGGUAGACCUAUGGAGGGCCUGUUGCGGUAGAAACCAGAAAACGUUUCCCAGAAAUGAGAACCCAAUGAGACCGAAAAACAUAACGCAGCACAUCGUUUCGAGCGCGUCACUCCACAUUCCACAACUGGCAGAAAGCAGUCGCCGCGGCGUCACUUGAAAGCUUUGCCAGGUGAUUUGCUUGUCUUUAGGAUUCGUGCUCUGGGCGCUAAGUUUUGGAUAAGUCCCUCCCCAUCUGUUCCAGGUGGUUUCAACCCUUCCUGUGUUUAGUUUUUUGAUGUUGAUACGCCUACCGCAGCGCAUGCUGAAUGACGGAGAUCUGCUGCGCAACGACAGACAAAACUUCAAUUUCGAUGCGGUUGAACUCAUCGAAACAGCCCCAUGUGCCGGACUGCGCCAAGCCGCUGAAAAUCCUGCCGAGGGAAAUGUAGUCCAGGGCGUCGGAGCAAUUGAAGACAAGGACCAGUUUCGCAACGCCUUUCCCCAAAUCUCUAACUGUUUCUGUUUUUCCUGCAGAUUGAGAGGGCGCGACCGCACAAACGAAACACUGGUGAUGUCGUUGAGGGUCCUCUCACAUGUGGCGGCACAGACACUCCGCGGGAGGCCAGGCGAUCGACUGUGCUUCCUUUUCGCUUCCUCUCAUUUCUCUGAAGAACGCGCCAUUUCCAAAUGGCCCAGGGCAAAGCUACCCUUAAGGCCUGCUCUUAGUCAACUCAAAC
rnacentral:lncRNA from 1 species